AUGCACACGACGGUCGGAGACGGUAGACAGGCUUUGUUCUGGGAGGACAAGUGGCUGGAAGGAUUCAGGAUCAGGGAAGUUGCACCGGCCAUCUACUCCAGGAUUCCCAAACGCGUUCGCCGGCAACUCCACGUCAACGAGGCAUUAGCUAAUGGCGCGUGGGCGCGGUACGUGGGUCCGAAUUUGGAGGGGCCGGCGCUCCUCCAGUUUAUGGUGCUGUGGGAGCGGGUUCAAGGAUAUCAACUCCAGGAGGGAGUGCACGACCGGAUCGUGUGGGCAUGGGAGAGGAGCGGGGUCUACUCUGCUAGCUCGGCUUACACGGCGAAGUUCUCAGGCAGUGAGGUGGUCCUGACAGCGGCAACAACGUGGGAAAAUCGGGCCCCCCUUCAGUGCCGUUUUUUCACUUGGCUCGUGGUGCGGAACCGCCGUUGGACCUCGGAUCGUUUGGCCAGGAGGGGGCUGCCGCAUGAAGAGGUUUGCCCGCUUUGCGACCAGGAGGAUGAAACGAUGAACCAUAUCAUGCUUCAGUGCGCCUUCUCCCGGUCCUUUUGGCUGCAGAUUUGCAUGGCUCUGGGCAAGCCGGAGUGGACGCCAACGUAG
rnacentral:rRNA from 1 species